ACCCCGGCUAACUCCGUGCCAGCAGCCGCGGUAAUACGGAGGGGGUUAGCGUUGUUCGGAAUUACUGGGCGUAAAGCGCGCGUAGGCGGAUUAGAAAGUUGGGGGUGAAAUCCCGGGGCUCAACCCCGGAACUGCCUCCAAAACUGCUAGUCUAGAGUUCGAGAGAGGUGAGUGGAAUUCCGAGUGUAGAGGUGAAAUUCGUAGAUAUUCGGAGGAACACCAGUGGCGAAGGCGGCUCACUGGCUCGAUACUGACGCUGAGGUGCGAAAGUGUGGGGAGCAAACAGGAUUAGAUACCCUGGUAGUCCACACCGUAAACGAUGAAUGCCAGUCGUCGGAUAGUAUACUAUUCGGUGACACACCCUAACGGAUUAAGCAUUCCGGCCUGGGGAGUACGGUCGCAAGAUUAAAACUCAAAUGAAUGACGG
rnacentral:rRNA from 1 species